UACGUAGGGUGCAAGCGUUAAUCGGAAUUACUGGGCGUAAAGCGUGCGCAGGCGGUUGUGCAAGACCGAUGUGAAAUCCCCGGGCUUAACCUGGGAAUGGCAUUGGUGACUGCACGGCUAGAGUGUGUCAGAGGGGGGGUAGAAUUCCACGUGUAGCAGUGAAAAUGCGUAGAGAUGUGGAGGAAUACCGAUGGCGAAGGCAGCCCCCCUGGGAUAACACUGACGCUCAUGCACGAAAAGCGUGGGGGAGCAAAACAGGA
rnacentral:rRNA from 1 species